rnacentral:rRNA from 1 species
UAGGGAAUCUUCCACAAUGGACGCAAGUCUGAUGGAGCAACGCCGCGUGAGUGAAGAGGGCUUUCGGGUCGUAAAACUCUGUUAUUGAAGAAGAACGUGUGUGACAGUAACUGGUCAUGCAGUGACGGUAUUCAAUCAGAAAGUCACGGCUAACUACGUGCCAGCAGCCGCGGUAAUACGUAGGUGGCAAGCGUUGUCCGGAUUUAUUGGGCGUAAAGCGAGUGCAGGCGGUCUUUUAAGUCUGAUGUGAAAGCCUUCGGCUUAACCGAAGAAGGGCAUCGGAAACUGGGAGACUUGAG